UACGGGGGGGGCAAGCGUUGUUCGGAAUUACUGGGCGUAAAGGGCUCGUAGGUGGCCAACUAAGUCAUACGUGAAAUCCCUCGGCUUAACCGGGGAACUGCGUCUGAUACUGGAUGGCUUGAGAUUGGGAGAGGGAUGCGGAAUUCCAGGUGUAGCGGUGAAAUGCGUAGAUAUCUGGAGGAACACCGGUGGCGAAGGCGGCAUCCUGGACCAACACUGACGCUGAGUGAGCGAAAGCCAGGGGAGCAAACAGG
rnacentral:rRNA from 1 species